UGCGAAGCGAAGCAGUGAUGUGAAGCAAAUCGCACCAAAGCCAGUCCCAGUUCGGAUAAGAGGCUGAAACUCGCCUCUUUGAAGUCGGAAUCGCUAGUAAUCGCAGAUCAGCAUGUUGCGGUGAAUACGUUCCCGGGUCUUGUACACACCGCCCGUCAAACCAUGAGAGUCACCAACACCCGAAGUCCGCCUUGGCGGCCUAAGGUGGGGGAGAUGAUUGGGGUUAAGUCGUAACAAGGUAUC
rnacentral:rRNA from 1 species